rnacentral:rRNA from 1 species
GCUCAAAUUUGAAAUCUUAAAGGGUUUCCCUUUACGAAUUGUAGUUUAAAGAAGUGUUUUCUGUUGAGGUUUUGGUAAAAGUUCUUUGGAAUAGGACAUCAUAGAGGGUGAGAAUCCCGUAUUUGACCUUUACUUUCAACUUUGUGAUACACUUUCAAAGAGUCGGAUUGUUUGGGAAUGCAGUCCAAAAUGGGUGGUAAAUUUCAUCUAAAGCUAAAUAUUGGCGAGAGACCGAUAGCGAACAAGUACCGUGAGGGAAAGAUGAAAAGAACUUUGAAAAGAGAGUUAAACAGUACGUGAAAUUGUCAAAAGGGAAGCGUUUGACACCAGUGUUGUUUUUCUGAAAAUCAAUUAAAGAACUGUUUAUGCUAAGCUGUUUAGACUUUAUCAGCUAUCUGUUUAGUUUUGAGCUUUUCUUUAAUGCACUUUUCAGUUAACAAG